UUUUUUUUUUUUUUUUUUUUUUUUAAUUUAUGAUAGUCACACAGAGAGAGAGAGAGAGAGAGAGAGAGAGAGGCAGAGACACAGGCAGAGGGAGAAGCAGGCUCCAUGCACCGGGAGCCCGACAUGGAAUUCGAUCCCGGGUCUCCAGGAUCGCGCCCUGGGUCAAAGGCAGGCGCCAAACCGCUGCGCCACCCAGGGAUCCCUGAUUUGACAGUCUUACAGUUAGUUCUGCUUUACAUUUAUCAUGGGUGUCUACCUGUUUAGUCUCAUCCAAUUUCCACCGUUAUUUCCUCUCCCCACCCUUACCCCACAUCCAUAUCUACCUCUGAGAAACACUCUUUGAUCUAAUUUUGAUUUUCCCAGUAGCUACUGAAAUCAAACCAGAGUCACUGUGCAAUUCAGAAUGAGUGCUGAAAAGGACAAUAUAAGGGCUUCCUGGGGGAUGCUAGGGAAGGUGACAAAAACAGAACCUAAAAAGUGUUCUGUAUCCACUGAAUGCUUUAUUUCAUUUCUGCUACUGCUAUCUGCUUUGACAGUGCAGCAUAGCUUAGUUAAAAGAGAAAAAGAACACAGACUUUUAAGUCAGACAGAGGUGGGUUUGAAUUCUAGGUCAACACUCAAGCACCCUAUUAGGCUGGCACUGUUAUACUCAUGUUACAGAUGACCAUAUAGAAGCCCAGGGAGAUUAUGUGACUUGGGCUGUGUAUGUGCAUGUUAUAUUUGGCAUGCUUUCAAAAAUGUCAAUGUGCAACCAAUGUAAAAUUGAGUGGUCAUGUCUUUCUAUAGGCCCCAGUCUUAUUUUCACUUUACUGGUCAUUUGUGGCUAGAGCUCAAUACCUACAAAAGACCCAGAGGAUUACAUACCUGCUAGAACUGGACAAUGGCUGCUUCAGGGAAUCCCCAGAGUCACCAUCUUUGCAUUUGCUUUUUGAAAAUAGCUUCCAUUCAGCUCAGUUCCGAGCAGUACCAUUACUGUGUAUCUGGCAAUACGGCACAGAGUAAUUCUGGCUUGGCCUCGGCCACUCUUGACAGGACAGGAGGUAGACUUUUGCAUCAAGCAUAUUGGUCCUACCUGUACCUUAGAAUCACCUGUUAGAAAAGGUUGAUCUGUGACAACGUGCAAGUCUUCUGAUUACCAGUGGGUUGCCAGUCCCCAGAUCACGGCAGGGAAGCUGACGUGUAUUAAUCUAGAAUUGACAGAGUUCACUCUGCUGUUUUUUAAACAUGGUGAAUGUAAUAAAGCAAUAUUAAUAAUAACGAUAGCCAACUCUGAAGGUUUACUACGUGCUGAUUAUUAAGCACAACUAAGUUUUUUAUGUGCAUUAAUUUAAUCCUCUCUCAAUAACACUAUAGUUCAUUACCUCUUUGAUUUAAAAGUUAUAGCCUUUUCUUCACAAAACUCAGAGAACAGAGAUUAUUAUGUGAGGUAGAUAUCAGUUUCCUGGAGGCCAGAGUCAAUUUUUUGGCAUGUUCUUUAGCACAGAAUCCAGGCCUUUUUUGGCAAUAUCUGAGCCAGGCAGAUGGACACUUUGACUUUCCUCAACAUAGAUUUGAAAAUAUCAAAUGCCUGGCUUGGUUCCAGACUGCUUUGGGCUUUUGAGGACCACUUGAACCCAAGAAAAAUCGUGCUUGUGCUAGAACAGACACAUGAGAAACAGUCGCUAGUUUGGUUCUGACAAGGAGUACCAAGUCUCAAGUAAAGCAUUAUAUGGAAUCUGAGAUCUCCAUUCAAAAUGGAUUCACAUUCUUUUUGGUGAUAUAACAAAUAAUUUAAAUGUGGUGAAUUAUUUCCCAUUUUGAUCUGUCAUAUACUUGACUUCAGAAGAGUGCUAAAUCCAACUCACGUGUCUGUUUUUUAUUUAAAAAAAAAAGGGAUUUUGUGAGAAACAGAGCAAUGUAUGUAGUAAUUAAAUAUUAAACUCAAUGAUUAGCUGUGGGCUUUUCAUAGAUUAAAAAAACUUUAUCGUUUAGUUAUUUUUUUCUGUAAUUAUCAGGAAGCAUCUAAUACAGUUACUUAGCAUUCAGAUUUUGAUCAUUCAGAUUACAGUAAUAUCACUAAUACUACUACUUUCAACUUCAAUUUGAAAGAUUUCCCAUUUUAAAACGUUAAAGAUACUUGAAAUAUAUUAUGUUUAAGGGGUGCCUGUGUGGCUCAGUCAGCUAAGUGUCUGCCUUCAGCUCAGGUCAUGAUCUCAGGGCCCUGGGAUCCAGCCCCACAGCUGCUUCUCCCCCUGCCUACUGCUCACGCUCUCUUUCGCACCUCUCUCUCAAAUAAACAAAUAAAUAAAAUCGUCAUAUAAAUAUAUAUAUGUAUAUACACACACACACACACACACAUACACACACACACACAAUGUUUAAGAGCAGUAUCAGAGCAAUAAUACAUCCAUAUAGAAUUAUCUCAAUGACAGAGAAGGGAAUAAAGUAAAUAUAGAUGUAAAAAAAUUCUCUAGUUUUCACUAAAAUGUUAACUUUAUAGUUAUCUGAGUUCAUUUUUUGUCUUUACACUUCUUUGCAUUUUCUAAAAUGAACACAUUAUUUUUAUAAUCGUAAAAAAAGGUUAAGGGAAUCCCUUUCUACACAGCUCAGCCAAAAGUAAUAUUAAACAUGUACAAAAGAGCAACUUAUUUAUAAGUUUAAUAUAAGAUAAAGAUUAUUUUAUUUUCUCAAGGUAGUAUAUGAAGAAAAAUAAUACUGAAGCAUCCCAAACUUUAAAAAAAUACCAUUACUGUCUAUAAAUUAUACAAAUAUAUAAUUACAAAACAGUAUAAAAUUAUACUUUGCGUAAAGAAGCCACAUUAUAAAUGCAUCUGCUUCUUUGUUGCGUUUAGUCAAAAGCUAUCAGGAAAGAAUACCAGAAAACAGUUCUAAUUCUAUAAAGCCAUUGCAUUUGAGAAAAGCCCACAGAAAUCUGCACGUGAGACUUCUCAAAAAAUCUUGGAAGACUGAGCGUAAGGAACAGGCUUCAUCUUCUAGUCAGAGAAGCUAAGUCCCAGAGCCAUUUAAAAAAUAGAUGUUCAGGGACCUACAAAGUGAAUAGAAAGGCAGACUGGAAUUCAGUUCUGACUGCUCUACUGAUUAGCUAAACCAUUCGGCUCUGCUUCUGUGGACAAGUUGAAGCAACAAACUAACUUAGAAACUAAAACCAGUUGAACAGGAUAGGUUUGCAUGCAAUACACCAACAAUUCAACAUAAUAACACCCAACAGCUAGAUUGCUUUGUAUUUUUGGUACGCUUUACAACUAUUCAUUAACCCACACAACAUCAAUGGAUGGUGGGGCUAUAUUGUUAAUGCAUUUCAUACACAAUGAAUAAGUAAAAACAUACUGAAGGAUUACAAUGACUAUAAAAUCAAAUGAGAAACCUACAGCAGAAAAAGUCCAAUGCCUUCCUCUAAUCAAACUUCAAUCCACAAAUAAAAACAGGGUAAGUUUGUUGAAAUACUUUUUUCCUUAUUUUUUUCAUUAAUACUUCCCAAACUGAACAUAACAUCCUAAAAAUGAUAGAUGAGACUGAAGAGGACCCAAAAGCAACAGUCCAUUCAAUUUCCUUCAGAGAUGACAACAUGUAAACUUUCCCCAGAACAAUUUUUUUAUUUAUCUAUUCAUGAGAGACACACAGAGAGCGAGCAAGAGAGGCAGAGACACAGGCAGAGGGAGAAGCAGGCUCCCUGCAGGGAGCCCGACAUGCGGGACUCGAUCCCGGACCCCAGGAUCACGCCCUGAGCGGAAGGCAGACGCUCACGGGUCUGUUGAACAGUCACUGAACCCCUCAGGCAUCCCUCCCUAGAAUAUUUUUUAAGGAUUACACCUUUAAAAAUCAUUUCCAAAAUUAAAAGGAAUUAGAAAAUAUUAUGUUCUCCCUAUAAUUAACAAUGAUACUCAUAAUCUCUUCUUUUUGCUCACAUACAUCAAAUUAAAAGCACUAGAUUUUUUUAAACAAAUAAUAAAAAUAUAGUAAGAUGCCUGGUAAUAUGCCAGUUUCUAGGAAGCAUCUAAGACUGAAACUAAAGUCACAAAAAUGAGUUAUCUACAGAGUCUACAAUUUACUAAGUAGGAUCAUUUAAUAUUCUCUAGUCAGGUUGAAAAUAUUCCUACUCUUUAUCAUUUUCCCUAUGACCACACAGAAAUACAUUGCUUUUUCCAACCGAAUGAAUUUCCCCUCCUUUCAGAGCUGAGCUGUCUCCCUGGCAAGCAUAUCAUAUAGAACAGCUGUUAUAUUACCAGUAUAAAAGCAAUUUUAUCUCAUCUAAUUGCAAAACAUAUGGGCAGAAUGAAACCGAACUUUUGGGGGCUCUGUAUCUUUAAAGGAAGAAAUAAUCAAAGUUCUUCUAUUGGUAAAAGCUGCGAACAAUGCUAUGAAUUCUGAUUUUGCACAAUUUAAGCAAGAUAUAUUUCACUAAACUUCUUUAAUUAAUUUUAAGUGCAUGUUUUACAUCCCCAAACAGAAUGACAUGGAUAAAGAACCAGCUCCAUUUUCAGCCUCUGCUAAGAUCUCAGCUAAACCUGCCCUGGAGAUAAUAGAUAUGUCGAUCCUACUCUGUGUUUAAGAUUUAUCAGGCCUCAAAAAAAAAAAAAAAGAUUUAUCAGGCCUCAAGAAUAGUUUCCUUUCUUGAGUAUUGUCUUCAGUAAUCUAUUUUCUUCAG
rnacentral:lncRNA from 1 species